rnacentral:rRNA from 1 species
UCAUGUGAUCUGACUGUGGUAAGGUAGCAUAAUCACUCGUCUUUUCAUUGGAGUCUGGUAUAAAUGGUUAGACGAAGGAAUUAUAUUUUUAGGACGACUCAUCAUAAUUUUUUCUUAAAAGUUAAAAAACUUUUAUUCACUAGGGGGACGACAAGACCCUAAAAUCUGUCUUAUACUAGAGCCCAGGAAUAUUUACAAUAGAGGACUUGCUGGGGCGGUAAAUCUUAAAAACAAUUUAAAUAUCUGCGCCAUUAGCGAAUCUUUUUAACCUUUAAGUACAAAUAAUAAGAUACUUUAGGGAUAACAGCAUAAUUUUUCUAUAGAGCUCUUAUCGCUAGAAAAGAUUAUGACCUCGAUGUUGAAUUGAGAAAACUAAUAUAAGCAGC